UAUCUCUGUAGAGUCUGCAUAUCAAUAAGCGGAGGAAAAGAAACUAACUAGGAUUCCCUUAGUAACGGCGAGUGAAGCGGGAAGAGCUCAAAUUUGAAAUCUUCAAGGUUUUACCUUGACGAAUUGUAGUUUAAAGAAGUGUUUUCUGUUGGUGUUUUGGUAAAAGUUCUUUGGAAUAGGACAUCAUAGAGGGUGAGAAUCCCGUAUUUGACCAUUACUUUCCAGCUUUGUGAUACACUUUCAAAGAGUCGGAUUGUUUCGGGAAUGCAGUCCAAAAUGGGUGGUAAAUUUCAUCUAAAGCUAAAUACUGGCGAGAGACCGAUAGCGAACAAGUACCGUGAGGGAAAGAUGAAAAGAACUUUGAAAAGAGAGUUAAACAGUACGUGAAAUUGUCAAAAGGGAAGCGUUUGACACCAGGUGUUGUUUUCUCGAAAAUCAAUUAAAAAAGGCAGGAUUUUGUGUUGUACUUGACUUUAUCAGCUUUCUGCACUCUUUUCUUGUCUUUUUUUAAUGCACUUUUCGUUUAACAAGUCGACAUCAAUUUCUUUUGUUGUAAAAGGGUCAUUGGAAGGUGGCUUUCUUUUCGGAGAAAGUGUUUAUAGCCUUUGGCCUCUGCAAUCGGAGAGAUUGAGGUCUGCAGCGUAGAUCCUUCGGGGUUAGAUACAUUUGUGCUAAGUUAUAGCCUUUCAUAGACAACUUGUUGACUAUGAUCAGUCAUGUAGCUUACUCGCUUAUGCUAUUUUACCUACGCUUAGGAUGUUGACGAUCAGCUGAGCGCG
rnacentral:rRNA from 1 species